GCCUUCGUGGUGUAACGGUUAGCACACUUGACACUUAUUCGAGAGGUCCGAAGUUCAAAUCUCGGUGAGGGCG
rnacentral:tRNA from 1 species